rnacentral:rRNA from 1 species
GGUUAAUACCCUGUGUAGAUGACGGUACCGGAAUAAGAAGCACCGGCUAACUACGUGCCAGCAGCCGCGGUAAUACGUAGGGUGCGAGCGUUAAUCGGAAUUACUGGGCGUAAAGCGUGCGCAGGCGGUUUUGUAAGACAGGCGUGAAAUCCCCGGGCUUAACCUGGGAACUGCGUUUGUGACUGCAAGGCUAGAGUACGGCAGAGGGGGGUGGAAUUCCACGUGUAGCAGUGAAAUGCGUAGAGAUGUGGAGGAACACCAAUGGCGAAGGCAGCCCCCUGGGUCGAUACUGACGCUCAUGCACGAAAGCGUGGGUAGCAAACAGGAUUAGAUACCCUGGUAGUCCACGCCCUAAACGAUGUCAACUAGGUGUUGGGAGGGUAAAACCUUUUAGUGCCGUAGCUAACA